CAGGAUAACCAUGUGGCUGGGUUGUUUAUUUACUCACUCUUUUACAGUUGCUUCUCAUUUCUUACUCUGUUCUUGUAGGAUGGUAUUACAUCUUUGCUCUUAUUUUUUUUGUGUGAUAAGGUUGCCAUGGUCUGUGGAUUCCUGCGGUCUAUUUUCUUUCUAUAUGGCUAUGACUGUUCAAGAUGAUAUUUUUUGGCGAAUUUUUAGAUGUGGGCUCUUGAAUUCCGGUGCUUUUUUUUGUGUUGGAAUUUUGCCCUGAAGUAAAAAGUUUGUUUCUUUGUGCCAAGAAGUGUCCCCUCGAUUCAUUUGUGAUGCUUAAUUUUCUGAAAUUGAGUGUGGGGGAGAGUAGUCUUGAAGAUCGAAUUGAUUUGAUUCUUGAAGAUUGGAAGAAAUUUAGGCUUCUAAGUCUUGAAUUGGAUCCAAAGAUAACUACUUUACACCUUGUUUGAGUUAGGUUUCUUGGUUGAGGGAAACUUCCAAGUCUGCAACUCACAACCACCUUAUAGCUUGAUUUUAAAACACAAUAUAAAAAUGGUGUCUUGAUUCUGUAGUAUUAGUUUUUUUGUACAACCUUUCUUAUAUUUUAUCCCCUAAAUCACAGGAAAAGAAUCUAUAUAUAUAUAUAUAUAUAUAUACACGGAGGAAGGUGAGGAUUCAAGAAAAUGGGAUGAAUUACUAACUGAUGCACUAGGCCUAAUAUUCAAGAAUCUCUCACUAUGUGAGGUUCUAACAGUUGUUGUUCCAGGAGUUUGCAAAUCAUGGGGACGAGCAGCCACGGGGCCUUACUGCUGGCAAGAGAUCGACGUUGAGGAAUGGAGUCGAAAUAGGAAGCCGGAGGUCGUGGAUAGAAUGCUCCGAUUGCUAAUAGCAAGAAGCCGUGGCUCUCUCCAAAAGCUCACUGUCUCUGGCCUCUCCUUGGACAAAACCCUUUUGUUCAUAGCAAUCAUGGUCGAUCUCUGUGAAGUUUGAGACUGCUGCGAAAUACACGACGCAGUAGUGGGGAAGGCUGCUGCAAUGCUGUGUGUACACAAACGACCGACAUAUGAGGAGUGGUGAAAGAGAUACAACUAUACCAGACGGACUUCCAUUGCAUGUGAGCUUUCGCUUUCCCUUCGAAGCCAUUGAAACAACUUCAGUCGGAGGAUGCUAUUCAGCAUGGAUUUGCAAUGAAAGCAAAGGAUGGUGCAAGUGCUUAUAUGAAGGGAAAGGGGAGAAGUUGGCGCCAAUGCGAGAAGAUUUCCGCGCCAAGCUAAAGAUUUGCAAAGACGACGGAGGAUAAAGGGGACAUUACAUCUUAAAAGGUGGGGGCAUUUUUGUAUUCACAGGGCAUAAUAUAACUAUCCACUGUAAUGACUAACCCUACCAAACAAUGGAUUAAGUUACAAAAAAUUUCUACCAAA